rnacentral:rRNA from 1 species
UACGUAGGAUGCGAGCGUUGUCCGGAAUUAUUGGGCGUAAAGAGAACGUAGGCGGUUUCUUAAGUUUGGGCUUAAAGACCGGGGCUCAACCCCGGGAGUGGCUCGAAAACUGGGAGACUGGAGGAUGUCAGAGGAAAGUGGAAUUCCGAGUGUAGCGGUGAAAUGCGUAGAUAUUCGGAGGAACACCAGUGGCGAAAGCGACUUUCUGGGACAUUUCUGACGCUGAGGUUCGAAAGCUCGGGGAGCAAACAGG